AUCUGUGUUGCGAUGUUUGCAGGCGAAAUGGGUCGUCAUUUGCCCCAGGGCCUUGUGAAGCUCUGGAGUCGCUUCAAGCGUUGGAGAAACCGGAGGAUCCAGCCGGAGCAGCCGGUGGGCGAAGGUGGUCCAGAUGGGCCUAACGGCGUCCACGUCCAUCCUUCACCCACUCCUCAGGUGGGUGACUCAUACACACCCCAUCCACCUUCUCCUCCACGCUCUCUUGUUUUUUGGUCUGCUGGUCCUUCUGUUUCCCCUUCACCCCCUCCUGUUCCUUGUUGCUUUGAUGUUCUUGCUUUUUCUCCUUCACCCUGUCCUACUCCUUCUUUUUCUUCUUCUUCUUUCUCACUCUCUUCUGCUUCCUCUGGUACUUGGUGCUCUGACAUCUUUCCCUUUUCUCCUUACCCUUCUCCUACUCCUUCUUCUUCUUCUUCUUCUUCUUCUUCUUCUUCUUCUUCUUCUUCUUCUUCUUCUUCUUCUUCUUCUUCUUCUUCUUCCUCACUCUCUUCUGCUCACUCUGCUUCUCUGUGCUCUCCUCCUCACUCUCUCACCUCUCCUUUUUCUUCUUCCUCGCCCUCCUCUGCUUACUCUGGUACUUGUUGCUCUGCUGUCCUUCCCUUUUCUCCUUCACCCUCUGCUGUUCCUAGUUGUUCUGCUGUCUUUCCUUUUUGUCCUUCACCCUCUCCUACUCCUUCUUCUUCUUCCUCACCCUCUUCUGCUUACUCUUGUCUUUGUUGCUCUGAUGCCCUUCCUUUGUCCCCUUUACCCUCUCCUGUGACGGAGAGAGUGAAGGAGCUCAUCCAGCAGCUCAUCUUCCAGGAGAGGUAAGGAAGACAGUGAUGAGGAGGGGGCUGCUCUUGGAAGACUCAACUGUGGGACGCUGUUUCCUACAGUGAAACCAGUCUUGGAUUUGACCCUAGGGCACCUUUUUUGUAGUUUUAUUUCUAUACCAUAAGUUUAAAUGUUCAUUCCAACUUUGAGAACUAACCUUUGCGUCUGGCUGGGCAGUUUUCAGGUCCCCGGCAGCGUCUGGCGCUGGGACCUUUCUUUCUUUCCUGGAUGAACACAAGUUUAAAUGUUAAUUUUACCCUGAGAACUAGCCUUUGCGUCUGGCUGGGUGGUUCUCAGGUCCCAGGUAGCGUCUGGCACCUGGGCCAGUUUUUGCUAUAUUUUAGCAUGGCGGUUGGAUGGACUUUUCUUUCACCCUGAAGGCUGAGUUCAGCGCCUGGCAGGGCCGUCGAUCCCCCCAUGCAAGUUGCCCUAGCGUCUGGCGGGGUAGCUAUUAUGUUUCUUCCACAGCGAUAGAAGGUCAGCUCAGUCACAGUGGCACUGGGGACACAUGUCGUCUCCCACUGAAGCUCCUCGGUGGCAGAUGACUGCAGUGUCAGGUGUUAUGGAGGAGACACAUGGCUGUCUGCAGUCCACAUCCUGCUCCACACUACAGGGAGCAGUGACUGACGGCUACUGACCAUUACGUCUGUCUUUCCAGUGGACAAAGGUGAGUACAAGAUUUGGUUUGGUUGACAGUUUCAAAGGAAGUAGUUGAAUAAAAAUAUAUUUAUAUUUAUUAUGUUAAAUUUU
rnacentral:lncRNA from 1 species